UAAUGUCUGGGAAACUGCCUGAUGGAGGGGGAUAACUACUGGAAACGGUAGCUAAUACCGCAUAACGUCGCAAGACCAAAGAGGGGGACCUUCGGGCCUCUUGCCAUCAGAUGUGCCCAGAUGGGAUUAGCUUGUUGGUGGGGUAACGGCUCACCAAGGCGACGAUCCCUAGCUGGUCUGAGAGGAUGACCAGCCACACUGGAACUGAGACACGGUCCAGACUCCUACGGGAGGCAGCAGUGGGGAAUAUUGCACAAUGGGCGCAAGCCUGAUGCAGCCAUGCCGCGUGUAUGAAGAAGGCCUUCGGGUUGUAAAGUACUUUCAGCGGGGAGGAAGGUGUUGUGGUUAAUAACCGCAGCAAUUGACGUUACCCGCAGAAGAAGCACCGGCUAACUCCGUGCCAGCAGCCGCGGUAAUACGGAGGGUGCAAGCGUUAAUCGGAAUUACUGGGCGUAAAGCGCACGCAGGCGGUCUGUUAAGUCAGAUGUGAAAUCCCCGGGCUCAACCUGGGAACUGCAUCUGAUACUGGCAGGCUUGAGUCUCGUAGAGGGGGGUAGAAUUCCAGGUGUAGCGGUGAAAUGCGUAGAGAUCUGGAGGAAUACCGGUGGCGAAGGCGGCCCCCUGGACGAAGACUGACGCUCAGGUGCGAAAGCGUGGGGAGCAAACAGGAUUAGAUACCCUGGUAGUCCACGCCGUAAACGAUGUCGACUUGGAGGUUGUGCCCUUGAGGCGUGGCUUCCGGAGCUAACGCGUUAAGUCGACCGCCUGGGGAGUACGGCCGCAAGGUUAAAACUCAAAUGAAUUGACGGGGGCCCGCACAAGCGGUGGAGCAUGUGGUUUAAUUCGAUGCAACGCGAAGAACCUUACCUGGUCUUGACAUCCACGGAAGGUCUCAGAGAUGAGACUGUGCCUUCGGGAGCCGUGAGACAGGUGCUGCAUGGCUGUCGUCAGCUCGUGUUGUGAAAUGUUGGGUUAAGUCCCGCAACGAGCGCAACCCUUAUCCUUUGUUGCCAGCGGUUAGGCCGGGAACUCAAAGGAGACUGCCAGUGAUAAACUGGAGGAAGGUGGGGAUGACGUCRAGUCAUCAUGGCCCUUACGACCAGGGCUACACACGUGCUACAAUGGCAUAUACAAAGAGAAGCGACCUCGCGAGAGCAAGCGGACCUCAUAAAGUAUGUCGUAGUCCGGAUUGGAGUCUGCAACUCGACUCCAUGAAGUCGGAAUCGCUAGUAAUCGUGGAUCAGAAUGCCACGGUGAAUACGUUCCCGGGCCUUGUACACACCGCCCGUCACACCAUGGGAGUGGGUUGCAAAAGAAGUAGGUAGCUUAACCUUCGGGAGGGCGCUUACC
rnacentral:rRNA from 1 species